rnacentral:lncRNA from 1 species
AUGAUACUAAAACCCUAACGGGAAGGAUUGUGCCUGAUGUUCAUAUGAUGAAAUCAUAAUCUUUCAGUCAGUUUAAUUGAAGUCUGGAGCUGGCAUGUUAGUUAACUGCUAGUAGUCUGUUGAUAUUUAUGUAUUAUUGUCAUUUUGUUUAUUUUCUUUGGUUACAUCUUCUGACAUCAGACUCGGACUUCUCUUGAACUGAAUUUUAAUGUGCGCAUUGUUAUGCGUUUACUUUUCUACAUUGGUUAGAGGUAUAGGGGGAGGGUUGAGAUCUCACAAAUAUGUUUAACCCCGCCGCAUUUUUGCGCCUGUCCCAAGUCAGGAGCCUCUGGCCUUUGUUAGUCUUGUAUUAUUUUAAUUAUAGUUUCUUGUGUACAAUUUGGAAAUUAGUAUGGCUUUCAUUAUCACUGGACUAGUAUAUAUUUGUUUAGGGGCCAGCUGAAGGACGCCUCCGGGUGCGGGAAUUUCUCGCUACAUUGAAGACCUGUUGGUGACCCUCUGCUGUUGUUUUUUAUUUGGUCGGGUUGUUGUCUCUUUGACACAUUCCCCAUUUCCAUUCUCAAUUUUAUUACUGUUUAA